rnacentral:lncRNA from 1 species
AUUGGAUCCGGCGCUCCCGGCAGGUACCCGGCGCCGCGUGUCCUUCCUCUGCUCGCAUCCUCACCGCGCCGCGCCCGGGGCUCCCUUUCUCUCUCUGUGCCCCACCGUCCCAGGACUGCGAGGUCCUUCACUUCUGCUUCCUCCAGAGCCUUCCGCCGUAAUGUCCGCACCCGCUGUUCCCUGCGCUUAGUCUCUCUUAGAGGUCAAAUUAGUGCGAGCGCCUCUGGUUACGUGGCGCUGACUCGCAGGCACUGCCACGCCCAGCUCUGUUCCGCUCUCCCCCGCCGAGCCUCUGUGCCACCCUCCAUGUGGCCACCUACCGCCAAAAACGUUCUUAGGAGCUCAAAAUGCUAUUUUUUUUUUAAAGUUCUGAAAUGGGAUUUGGAAAUAACAUGACAUUUUUCAAGCCUUGUUUUAAGAUACUGCCUAUAAUUACCCCAGACCAAAAAUGGCUAACGUUGCCCUUGUCCAGUAUGGCCUUGACGUUUUGGGUGCAUCUUGUUUUGUGCUAUUCCUUAGACCCUUUAAAAAUGCUGGGCUUUUGAAAUGGACUGUUUAAGACUUUUGCAGGAUGGAGCUUUGAGUGGGCAAGACUAGAAGACAGGAAAGGAUGGUCUUGAGUUAGGCUUGAGAAUAUUUUUACGUCUUCCCAAAAGAAAAAGUGAGCU